GCCGAAGUGGCGGAAUGGCAGACGCGACGGAUUCAAAAUCCGUUGGGGUAACACCCGUGUGGGUUCAAGUCCCACCUUCGGUA
rnacentral:tRNA from 1 species